rnacentral:rRNA from 1 species
CCCUUAGAUGUUCUGGGCCGCACGCGCGCUACAAUGAUGCAUUCAACGAGUGUCUCCUCGGUCGAGAGGCCUGGGUAAUCUUUUGAAUGUGCAUCGUGUUAGGGAUAGAUUAUUGCAAUUAUUAAUCUUCAACGAGGAAUUCCUAGUAAACGCAGUUCAUCAAACUGCAUUGAUUACGUCCCUGCCCUUUGUACACACCGCCCGUCGCACCUACCGAUUGAAUGGUCCGGUGAAGCCUCGAGAUUGUGACAGGUGCCUUUAUUGGUGUCAGUCUCAAGAACUUGUCUGAACCUUAUCAUUUAGAGGAAGGUGAAGUCGUAACA